UACGUAGGGUGCGAGCGUUAAUCGGAAUUACUGGGCGUAAAGCGUGCGCAGGCGGUCUUGCAAGACAGAUGUGAAAUCCCCGGGCUCAACCUGGGAACUGCAUUUGUGACUGCAAGGCUAGAGUACGGCAGAGGGGGAUGGAAUUCCGCGUGUAGCAGUGAAAUGCGUAGAUAUGCGGAGGAACACCGAUGGCGAAGGCAAUCCCCUGGGCCUGUACUGACGCUCAUGCACGAAAGCGUGGGGAGCAAACAGG
rnacentral:rRNA from 1 species